AGAGUUUGAUCCUGGCUCAGGAUGAACGCUAGCGACAGGCUUAACACAUGCAAGUCGAGGGGCAGCACAGGUAGCAAUACCGGGUGGCGACCGGCGCACGGGUGAGUAACGCGUAUGCAACUUGCCUAUCAGAGGGGGAUAACCCGGCGAAAGUCGGACUAAUACCGCAUGAAGCAGGGAUCCCGCAUGGGAAUAUUUGCUAAAGAUUCAUCGCUGAUAGAUAGGCAUGCGUUCCAUUAGGCAGUUGGCGGGGUAACGGCCCACCAAACCGACGAUGGAUAGGGGUUCUGAGAGGAAGGUCCCCCACAUUGGUACUGAGACACGGACCAAACUCCUACGGGAGGCAGCAGUGAGGAAUAUUGGUCAAUGGCCGAGAGGCUGAACCAGCCAAGUCGCGUGAGGGAUGAAGGUUCUAUGGAUCGUAAACCUCUUUUAUAAGGGAAUAAAGUGCGGGACGUGUCCCGUUUUGUAUGUACCUUAUGAAUAAGGAUCGGCUAACUCCGUGCCAGCAGCCGCGGUAAUACGGAGGAUCCGAGCGUUAUCCGGAUUUAUUGGGUUUAAAGGGUGCGUAGGCGGCCUUUUAAGUCAGCGGUGAAAGUCUGUGGCUCAACCAUAGAAUUGCCGUUGAAACUGGGGGGCUUGAGUAUGUUUGAGGCAGGCGGAAUGCGUGGUGUAGCGGUGAAAUGCAUAGAUAUCACGCAGAACCCCGAUUGCGAAGGCAGCCUGCCAAGCCAUGACUGACGCUGAUGCACGAAAGCGUGGGGAUCAAACAGGAUUAGAUACCCUGGUAGUCCACGCAGUAAACGAUGAUCACUAGCUGUUUGCGAUACACUGUAAGCGGCACAGCGAAAGCGUUAAGUGAUCCACCUGGGGAGUACGCCGGCAACGGUGAAACUCAAAGGAAUUGACGGGGGCCCGCACAAGCGGAGGAACAUGUGGUUUAAUUCGAUGAUACGCGAGGAACCUUACCCGGGUUUGAACGCAUUCGGACCGAGGUGGAAACACCUUUUCUAGCAAUAGCCGUUUGCGAGGUGCUGCAUGGUUGUCGUCAGCUCGUGCCGUGAGGUGUCGGCUUAAGUGCCAUAACGAGCGCAACCCUUGCCACUAGUUACUAACAGGUAAAGCUGAGGACUCUGGUGGGACUGCCAGCGUAAGCUGCGAGGAAGGCGGGGAUGACGUCAAAUCAGCACGGCCCUUACAUCCGGGGCGACACACGUGUUACAAUGGCGUGGACAAAGGGAAGCCACCUGGCGACAGGGAGCGAAUCCCCAAACCACGUCUCAGUUCGGAUCGGAGUCUGCAACCCGACUCCGUGAAGCUGGAUUCGCUAGUAAUCGCGCAUCAGCCAUGGCGCGGUGAAUACGUUCCCGGGCCUUGUACACACCGCCCGUCAAGCCAUGGGAGCCGGGGGUACCUGAAGUCCGUAACCGCGAGGAUCGGCCUAGGGUAAAACUGGUGACUGGGGCUAAGUCGUAACAAGGUAGCCGUACCGGAAGGUGCGGCUGGAACACCU
rnacentral:rRNA from 1 species